UACGUAGGCAGCAAGCGUUGUUCGUAGUUACUGGGCGUAAAGGGUGCGUAGGCGGCCUUGUAAGUAUGGUGUGAAAUCUCCCGGCUUAACUGGGAGGGUGCGCUAUAGACUGUGGGGCUAGAGUGUGGGAGAGGAAAGUGGAAUUCCUGGUGUAGCGGUGAAAUGCGUAGAUAUCAGGAGGAACACCGGUGGUGUAAACGGCUUUCUGGACCAUAACUGACGCUGAGGCACGAAAGCGUGGGUAGCAAACAGG
rnacentral:rRNA from 1 species